rnacentral:rRNA from 1 species
GAUGAACGCUGGCGGCGUGCUUAACACAUGCAAGUCGAACGGGAAUUAUUUUAUUGACACUUCGGUCGAUUUAAUUUAAUUCUAGUGGCGGACGGGUGAGUAACGCGUGGGUAACCUGCCUUAUACAGGGGGAUAACAGUCAGAAAUGGCUGCUAAUACCGCAUAAGCGCACAGAGCUGCAUGGCUCAGUGUGAAAAACUCCGGUGGUAUAAGAUGGACCCGCGUUGGAUUAGCUGGUUGGUGGGGUAACGGCCCACCAAGGCGACGAUCCAUAGCCGGCCUGAGAGGGUGAACGGCCACAUUGGGACUGGGACACGGCCCAGACUCCUAAGGGAGGCAGCAGUGGGGAAUAUUGCACAAUGGGGGAAACCCUGAUGCAGCGACGCCGCGUGAAGGAAGAAGUAUCUCGGUAUGUAAACUUCUAUCAGCAGGGAAGAUAGUGACGGUACCUGACUAAGAAGCCCCGGCUAACUACGUG